UACGUAGGCAGCAAGCGUUGUUCGGAAUUACUGGGCGUAAAGAGUGUGUAGGCGGUGUUCUAAGUCUGUUGUGAAAUCUCCCGGCUUAACUGGGAGGGUGCGGCGGAAACUGGAAUGCUAGAGGAUGGGAGAGGUAAGCGGAAUUCCUGGUGUAGCGGUGAAAUUCGUAGAUAUUGGGAAGAACACCGGUGGCGAAGGCGGCGACCUGGUCCUUGACUGACGCUGAGGCGCGAAAGCGUGGGGAGCAAACAGG
rnacentral:rRNA from 1 species